rnacentral:tRNA from 1 species
AGAAUUUUAAGUUAUCUAAACUUAAAGCCUUCAAAGCUUUCAAAAAAAGUACCUAACCUUUUAAAUUCUA